rnacentral:snRNA from 1 species
UGUCAUGUGGUCAACACAGAGCGAACUAUUCUUUCUCCUUUUACUAAAGAAUACCAUGUCUUGGCCACCAACAACGACAUACGCCUAUUUUUAGAGGCUUCCAUCUCACUGUGAGAA